rnacentral:lncRNA from 1 species
AUGGGAAGCGAGAUGCGGCUGCUCUCGGUCAUCGCUCCCGAGCCGAGCCCGGCGCUAACCCCGCGGGCCAAUUUUAGCGCACUCCCCGCACACGGGCUCUGGUUGUUUGCGCUUGUUUUGAAGCCUUCCCGGCCGCGCCGUCAUCGCAUCCUGUGGCUCGGCAGGAAAAGGCUCUGCGGAGGCACCGCUGCCAAGAAGCCCAAGAGGUGUGACAGCGCUGCGAGCCCCCCCGGCCACCGAGUGGGUGAAAGGCUCUGUGGCCUCCCUGGAGGUGGCCCUGGCUCCAGAGAGCCUUUGGACCGCCUGCGGGGUGGCAGUCGUGCCGUGGGGACCAUGGCAGGCACCCCGGCAUCUCAGGGCCACGGACCUGGCCACGGUUCUUGGGCCGACAUCCCCAUGGGCUUGGGGGACCAUCUGGAUGCACGGUGGGCAGCCACGGCCCAUCCAGGGCCUCAAGCUGGCCACAGCUCCGGAGUGCCCUGGAGAAGCUCGGCCAUGAGAUCCUUCAGCCCAAAGGAGUCCGGAUUUGGGCUGGGGACCCAUGUGCGAAAGCCAUCAUCGCGAUUGCAGAAAAACUCCUCCCCUUCCUUCUCUUUCAAAAUAACUUCUUUCCUCCCGGCAUCGAAAGGAGCUGCCGGCCCUGCGCGCCUUCCCGCAUACCCCAUACCCCCAGCUACCCCGUCCCCCCCAGGCUUUUGCGCCCCCUCUUCACCCGCGGCCCGCGCCGUAGCCCCAUUUCACGUGCCGCCGCACGCCGCCUGGUUCCCACGCUGCCCUGCGCACCCAUUUUCCCUUGGGGCCGUCAGCCGUCAGCCUUCCAAUGGGAAAGGGCCAAGGCAAGCAAGAGAUACCUGGACCUGCUCUCCACCCGCUUCUUGCCUGGACUCAAGAUGUUUCAAAGCUCUCCCCUUUCUAUUUCUAUCCUCGCUGUCAUCCUGCUCUGAGAGGAAGGUCUAUUAUUCCCCCCCCCCUUUUCUCCCUACAAAAAUGGGACAUUGUUUCUUCUUUCUUUGA